CAGAUAAUUCUCAGCUAUGUGACCCUGGGCAAGUCACUAACCCCCACUGCCAAGCCCUUACCACUCUUCUGCAUUAGAACCAAUACACAGUAUUGAUACUAAGACAGAAGCUAAGGGUUUAAAAAAAUAAAAAGAGAAAAAGUAAAAUUUUAUAUAAAUAUGAAUAGCACUGAUGAAAAAAAUUUCAAGGAAUUUUUUGAUAUGAUCAACUCAGGAUCCCAAACCACCCUCAUGUUUCCAUACAGCCCCACUCCCAACAGCUAUUAUGAAUUAUUGCUGAUAUCAUAAAGCAUUUUUUCUCUAGCUCUAUGACAGCAGCAGUAGGCAGAGAGUUGAAGGAAGAUCAGUCCUGAUCAGAGGACAGUGAAAAAGAAGUAUAUUGGGGAUUUUUUGGUUUUUCAAAUAUUUGGACUUUACCUUGGGUGUUGAGAUUGUGGAAGUUAUGAUAGAAAUUGCUGAAUCCAAACUAUCAAGAACAAUAUCUUCAAUUCACAGAUGAGGAAACUAAAAACCCAGGAGAUAGAUCAUUGAUGUGCGAUGUAACAGAUAAUAGUCAUGAGUGCACUGUGACAAUUAUGGAAAAAGAUUUGACCAUCUCCCCAAAUAAGAAGAAAAAUGAGUGGGAUUGUGAGGGAUGUAGUGACAACAAGAUGGAUGAAAUCAUUCUUGAGGAGGAAAUGGAACCUCCAAGAUGGGUUCAUAUUUCUGAGGAGACAAGCCCAGCACAUGUACAAGAAGACAUCAAUGUUCCGACUAAUUGGCCUUCUGUGACAUCAGAUAUGGAAAAAGCAUGCAUAUUUUCCCUAACUAAAGAGAAUGAUGUUGGAGUCCCCCAGGCAUAUAGUAACACUAGGAUGGAUGAAAUCAUUCUCAAGGAGGACAUGGAACCUCAAAGAUGGGCUCACAUCUCUGAGCAGACAAGCCCAGCAGAUGUACAUGAAGACAUCAGUGAUUCAACUAAUUAUGAUGGUACCUACAUUGGGAAAGUCCCCACAAAAUUUGAAGAGGACUACCAGGAGAAAAAAGUUUCCCUCCUAAAGGGUGCAGCUGGUGAUGGGGAUGAUUUUAUAUGGGAUGAUUAUGAUGGCAUUCCUGGCUGUGAAGAAAAUACAUGUUUUUUUAUGCCUUGCAAUGAAAAACAUUCCAAGCCAGCUCAACCUAUAUAUCCUAAUGGACAGAGAAGUCAUCAUCCAGGGGAGGAUGAAGGAAAGGAAGCUGAAGAAUCAUCAGACAGCAGUGAUGAAGGAGGCAUCUGGUUCACAGCACGAGUGACGACAUCAACAAGUAAUCAUCAUCAAGAGGAGGCUGAAGUUAAGGGAGCCGAAGAGUCAUCAGACAGUGGUGGGAGGCUGAAGGAAAGGGCAAUGAAGUCCCACUACACAAUGCUGACUCUACAAAUGAUGGGGGGAAAAACAGAAGGAGAAUAUUUUCUUUCUUUCGAUGCUUCCAGUGGAUCUCUAAAAAACAGAAAAAAAGCACUAGAAGAGAAGGUGGUGGUAUUGGUUGCCAAAAGGAAUGAAUCAAGAGAAAAUGUUGCAGAAGUUACAUCAGCAAGAGGAUUUUUUGUAUGCGUUUUAAAAAUCUAAAAAGUAAAAAAAAUGUCAUCAUGAAUUUAAGAUAAAAAGUUUAUCUUGAGUGUAUUUCAUACUCCAAUCAGUCAGUCAAUUCACAUUUAUUAAAGACCAACUAUGUGCCAUGCACUAUGCUAAGUGCUGGUCAUGUAAAGCAAGAGAAAAGAUAGCCCCCUACCUAAGGAAGCUCACAAUAUUAAUCUGAACACAACACACAGACAAUGAUCAAUGAGUAGGCUUUAUACAGGAAAAAUGCGAACUAGUCCACUGAGGGGAGGCACUAGAAUUAAGAGUCAUUGGGGAACAGGUUUCCUGCAGAAGGUGUGCUUUUAAGUAGGGCUUGAAGGAAGCUAGGGAAGUGUCUGGUAGGAAGAUAAGGUGAGGAGAGCAAGCAUUGCAAAAAUGGGUACAGCCAAUCAAGAAUGCGUCAGCCAGAGAGAUGGAUUGUCUUGUUUAAAGAUAUUGCAGUUGUUUGCAGUUGUUGAGGCAAAAGGAAAUUAAGGCCUUCACCAUGGUGGGUUGGGCAAUAUAGCAGAAAAGAAGAAGAGGCCAUAUUUAAGAGAUGUGGCAAAGAUCAAGUUGACUUGGCAAAAGACUAGAUUUUGGGUUGUAGUAGUGAGAUUUUGAGGAUGACAUUGUUAUGAGCAGGGGAAACUAGAAAGAUGGUGGAAUCCAGGACAAUGAUCGAGAAAUUUAGAAAGUGGAAGUGCUUAAAGAUAAUGAGUUCAUUUUUAUACAUAUUGAGUUGUAGGUGUUUACAGGACAUCAGAUGUGAGAGUAGAGGUCAGGAAAGAGUUAGAACUAGAUAUAGUUAAAAAAAAUAGAACUAGAUUUAUAGACAUAUAAGCAUUAUUGAAUUGAAUCCAAGGAAACUGAUUAGAUUACUAAACUUAAAAUAGAAGAGGGCCCAGAACAGUGCCCUGAGGGACAUGAAAAAUUAUUAAGUAUGACCUAGAUAUGACUGAUGGUGCAGCAGAAAGAGUGGUCAGAAGGAAACAGAACCAGGAAGGAAUCAAGAGCCCUCAGUAAACCUAGAACAGAGUACAGAAAAGGUUGUCAAAGGUUGCAGAGAGGUCAAGAAUGAUGAAGACUGAGAAAAAGCCAAUGGAUUUGGUCAAGAAGAUAUGCCUGAGGAGUUUAAAGAAAGUAGGUUGGUUUAAAUGAUGAAAUCAGAAACCAGACUAUAGAGAAAUAAGAAAAAAAUAGUGAAAAGAGAGGGGACAGAAGGAGUUAUAGCUUGUUCAAGGAGUUUAGACUAAAAAACACACUAGAUAUGUGACCAAAGUUAGCAAAGAUGAAUGGUUUGAGUUUUUUUGAGGAUGAGGCAUGGUUGUAGUCAGCAAGAAAGCAACCACUAGAUCAGCAGAUAUUAAAAGUAAGGAGAGAAGAGAUACUAGAGUACCUGGUGGAUUGGAGAGGACUUAUGCAUGUAGAGAGGUCUGCCUUGGCAAUCCUUGUUCAUCUUUUUAUGGGAGAUGUGAAGCACAAAGAGGAGACAGAGUGGCAGAAAGUAUCGGAGUAAAGAGGAAACUCUCAGCAAAUCAAGAAACAAGGGCUCUCCCUCAUAUUUAUGUGGGCUUAUUUUAUAAACUGAACUUUGCUAAGGUUGUGAAUUUUUUCAAUUAUUUUUAAGUUUAUUUUCUAGGAGUCGAAUAUACAUACCAUCAUAUCACCUGUGAAACAAUAGUUUUUUUUUUUCACUGCCUAUUCUAAUUCCUUCAAUUUCCUUUUCUUAUUGCUAUAAUUAGCAUUUCUAGUGUAAUACUGAAUAGUGGUGAUAAUAGGCAUCCUUGCUUCACUCCUAAUAUUACUGAAAAGUCCUCCAGCUUGUUCCCAUUACAAAUGAUUUCUACUGAUGGUUGUAGGUAGAUACACCUUAACAUUUGAAGGAAAGUUCCACACAGAAGAUCCUUUUUCACUAGUUUACUCCCAAAUAAAUUAUCAUUAUUCACCA
ensembl:lncRNA